AAUUUUUAGUUUAAAAAAUAUUGAAUGACACAUGUCAUCUUCUUGUGUGAUGAUGUGUCAUUCAUAUGGAGAGAGUUGACCAACUUUCAUAUAUAUGAUUUUAAGAGCAUCCUCAUUGAACAAAUAAUGAGGAUGUCUUUAAUUAUAAUAAGAAUAAAAAUAAAAUAAAAGUAAAGUCUAUUGGAGAAAGAGGAGAGAGGGUGUCUUCCCACCGACACUAAAGACAUUUUUAUAGACACAUGUUUACAUUUGGCACUCAUUGAUUGGUUAAUAUUUUUU
rnacentral:sRNA from 1 species